rnacentral:sRNA from 1 species
AGAAAUUCCAAAGGUGGCUAGCAUGGUGGCUCAUGCCUAUAAUUCCAGUACUUUGAGGCUGAGGUGGGAGGAAUGCUUGAGUCUCCAGUCUGGGCAAUAUAGUGAGACCCCAUCUCUGCAAAAAAAGAAGUUCCAGAGGCCCAGACUUGCUACUGGUGCCCAGGGGGCUGUGGGGCAGCUUGGGCAUUGAGCCCUCAUGCUGUGGGAUCUGAUGCUGUCUCUAGGUAGAUAGUGUUGGAAUUGAAUUGGAGGACACUCAGCUGGUGUCCGCUGCAGAACUGAUGGCUUGCCUGCUGGUGGGGAGAAAUCCUUACAUAUUUUUUGGAGUCACAGAAGUCUUCUGUGUUGAUUGUUGUAGUGUGAAAGCAGAGGAAAAACAAUGGUUUGGGUUUUUUCCAAACAACUUUCAUGACACAUAUGAGAAUGUAAAUUCCAGAAGGGCCAAGGCCAUGUCUGUUUUACCUACUCUUUUUCCCCCAGCUUCUAGUACAUAGGAGGCAUUUGAUAUAUACCAAACAAACAAGCAAGUGACUGACUAGUGGAUGUCCUGAGAAUCUUCUUGCUGCUGGGAGGGUCCUCCUGCCCUCAGCAUUUCUCUCUGGGAAGCUCUUAGACUACUCUCUCAGUCAUGCCCACCUUUUCGGUCAUAGGUCAGAAGCCAAUGACCUGGCCCUGAGGCUGGCUCGCCACUACACGGGACACCAGGACGUGGUGGUAUUAGAUCAUGCGUAUCACGGCCACCUGAGCUCCCUGAUUGACAUCAGUCCCUACAAGUUCCGCAACCUGGAUGGCCAGAAGGAGUGGGUCCACGUGGUAUGCACUGCCCAACUCAACAACAGGUCGGUGCCUGUCCCCAAGCCCGGAUAACAUGGCGCUGUCACUCCCCACAGGCACCUCUCCCAGACACCUACCGGGGCCCCUACCGGGAGGACCACCCCAACCCAGCUAUGGCCUAUGCCAACGAGGUGAAACGUGUGGUCAGCAGUGCACAGGAGAAGGGCAGGAAGAUUGCGGCCUUCUUCGCUGAGUCUCUGCCCAGUGUGGGAGGGCAGAUCAUUCCCCCUGCUGGCUACUUCUCCCAAGUGGCAGACUCCAGGGAAAAGACUUCGUCCCUGACAUCGUCACCAUGGGCAAGUCCAUUGGCAAUGGCCACCCUGUUGCCUGCGUGGCCGCAACCCAGCCUGUGGCGAGGGCAUUUGAAGCCACCGGCGUUGAGUACUUCAACACGUUUGGGGGCAGCCCAGUGUCCUGCGCUGUGGGGCUGGCCGUCCUGAAUGUCUUGGAGAAGGAGCAGCUCCAGGAUCAUGCCACCAGUGUAGGCAGCUUCCUGAUGGAGCUCCUCGGGCAGCAAAAAAUCAAACAUCCCAUCGUCGGGGAUGUCAGGGGUGUUGGGCUCUUCAUUGGUGUGGAUCUGAUCAAAGAUGAGGCCACAAGGACACCAGCAACUGAAGAGGCUGCCUACUUGGUAUCAAGGCUGAAGGAGAACUACGUUUUGCUGAGCACUGAUGGCCCUGGGAGGAACAUCCUGAAGUUUAAGCCCCCAAUGUGCUUCAGCCUGGACAAUGCACGGCAGGUGGUGGCAAAGCUGGAUGCCAUUCUGACUGACAUGGAAGAGAAGGUGAGAAGUUGUGAAACGCUGAGGCUCCAGCCCUAAGCCAGCCCUGCUCUGCCUAGGUGUACUCCAGAAGAAACUCAUCUCAUCCAAAUACACGCUAUUGAGAAGGCGAGCCUGACCUCCCUCUUACAGAUAAAGUCAGCUUUCAGAGGCUCAGGGUGGGGGGCCUGCCCAAGGCCAUAAUGCUACCCACCCCCUCCUCCUAACCACUGGUCUGUUGGGAUAACCCAGAUGUCUGCAUCCCCUCAAGUCAGUCAAUUUCCUUUCUGUCCACUGGGGGUGGAAUGGGGUAGGGUGGGGUACUUUAAAGUGCUCCUGCUUAAAUAAGUUAGACCAGACCAGUGUAUUUCUAAAGAAAAUCCUGACAUGCACACCCAUUAAAAAUAGUACAUUUUACAGUGUCCCAGUCAUACUUUUAAUUGGCAAAUUAAAAUAAUGCAAUCUGAUAUAUUCUAUCCUACUAAAUUAAAAAUACUGAAUAUAACC